rnacentral:rRNA from 1 species
CAAUAGCGUAUAUUAAAGUUGUUGCAGUUAAAAAGCUCGUAGUUGGAUUUCUGGUUGAAGCGACCGGUCGGGCGUUGAUUCGUCUGCACUGGAGUCGGUUUUGGCCAUCCUCUAGGAAAGUGCGUCUGGUAUUAAGUUAUCGGGCGUAUGAUCCUGGUCUUUUACUGUGAAAAAAUUAGAGUGUUUAAAGCAAGCCUUCGCCUUGAAUACAUUAGCAUGGAAUAAUAAGAUAGGACUUUGGUCUAUUUUGUUGGUUUGCAGACCGAAGUAAUGAUUAAUAGGGAUAGUUGGGGGUAUUUAUAUUCCGAUGUCAGAGGUGAAAUUCUUAGAUUUUCGGAAGAUAAACUUAUGCGAAAGCAUUUACCAAGGAUGUUUUCAUUAA